rnacentral:rRNA from 1 species
GACGGGGGGGGCAAGUGUUCUUCGGAAUGACUGGGCGUAAAGGGCACGUAGGCGGUGAAUCGGGUUGAAAGUGAAAGUCGCCAAAAAGUGGCGGAAUGCUCUCGAAACCAAUUCACUUGAGUGAGACAGAGGAGAAUGGAAUUCCCGGUGUAGCGGUGAAAUGCGCAGAUAUCGGGAGGAACACCGGUGGCGAAGGCGGUUCUCUGGGCCUUACCUGACACUGAGGAGCGAAAGCGUGGGGAGCGAACAGG